UGGCGAUGAUUAAAAAUUACCCGCGCUUCUGAAGCAUAAUCGCUGAUGUAUACUGCAAAUCAAUGGUUGAAUUUCUUAAUAUGAGCCA